UAUAAAUUCUCUUGGUAGGGAUCUAAUUCUUAGACAAUAUUCCCAAUUCUCUUGCUUAAUCUUCUGCGCCUAACCCCUCUCACAUCAUGUUUCAUGCAGUCUCCAGCAUUAGCCAUUGAAUUGCACUCCUGCACCUGGGCAUCAUGAUCCUGAACGUUACCACCAACUCAACAGAGAUUUAGAAAGGACAGAUUGCAAUUUUUGUAUAGACCAGAAAUACCCAGGCUGAGACUUGAAGAAAAUCAAAUCGAGCACUGCAGUUUUAGCAGCUUGAUUCAUAGUACCAUUUAUUCAACAGAAUGAUCAGAAACAGUUCUUUGGCAUGUCCUUGAAAACUUUGUUCUCAUCUGUUGAAGCAGAAUUCCUUGUUCACCUAAAAUGAGGC
rnacentral:lncRNA from 1 species